AUGCAUCUAGAUGCUAUCAACUCUAGCGUCAUUCCUAGUUCAGAACAUGUUUGGAAAGUCAAAGUUCCUUUGAAAAUUAAAGUGUUUAUGUGGUUUAUACAUAAACAAGUCAUAUUAAUAAAGAAUAACUUGGUAAAGCGCAACUGGACAGGAUCUAUCAGGUGUAGUUUUUGUGAUCGAGAUGAAUCUGUCAAACACCUUUUUCUUAAUUGCCCGUUGGCCAAAGUUUUGUGGCAGACGGUGCACGUUGCCUUUAACAUUACUCCUCCAAAUUCUGUCAGUACGUUAUUUGGAACGUAG
rnacentral:rRNA from 1 species